ACUGUGAACCCGCAGCCCCUGGGCUCCGAGCGCAAACCCGGCGACUGGAAGGGCCUGGGGAGCGGGUGAGCCAGCGCCAGCCCCGCCGGCCCCAGGAGCGCGAAUUUCUCUACAUUUCCGGCUGUGGCCGCAGGUGGAGGAUGGGAUCAAAAGGGGCAAAAAAGCGUCCUCAUCCCUUUUCACCUCGGAGCUCAGCGUCUUCCUCAGCAGCACUUCCAUGUCAUCUGCCCCGUGAAAUCAGCCUAACGCCGUUUCUCAAUGACGUGGAUCGCCCUAGACCACCGCAACCUUCCGGAAGCUCUCUCAGCUCAGUUCCCAUUCUCCCACCGUCUCUUGGCUCUCCUUCCACCUCACCGGUUGCUAGUCCCGCGCUUCGCAGCUGAAAAUGUGCCCGGGGCCUACUGUGGGCCUCGCCAGGCCUGCUUACGCAGUGCAGUUUCCGACGAAUAAUGCCCAGUCAUUAUCGUGUAACCUGUGGCAAGCCAGCAAGAUGGCCCCGGUGACAGAAAAAGAAACUGCACUAGGACCUGGAUGUGGAUCUAGGUCAUGUUCCUACUAACAGCACGUUUUACAACCACGCGUUAAAGAAACAUCUGACUCACAACAACAUUUUAAAGGGUUUAUUUGAGUGAAAAGCAAUUUAUGAAUUGGGGAACACCUGACUGAAAGAGCUUUAGUAUUCCAGAGACAAAACAUCAAAUGCAAGUUUUUACUGGGAAAAUGUAGAAGCACAAUAAAGAAAUUAUUUGAUUGGUUACA